rnacentral:lncRNA from 1 species
AAGGAGAGAGCCAGCUGAGAGCAGAGGGGAGGGAGAAGAGCAGGAAGGGAACAAGAACGAAGGAGCAGCAGGCAGGAGAGGAUGCACAUGGCCACUGCGGAGGGCGAGGGAAGGACCAGCUCUCAGCAGCAUGUCUGGUGAUGCUGCCCUGCAAAGGGCAGCUGUCAUCCCUCCCCUGCACUUCCAAGUUCCCUGAUGAAAUUACGUCUCUCUCGGUUCUGGUUCUGAUUCUAGAGAAGAACAAGGAGAGGGAAGCUCCCACAGAGAGUAGUCUGGGAGCUGAUUUCACCUUUUCUCUCUGAAUAGAGAGAAAGGCAGAGUUGGGAGUGGUCAUCCAGCUCCAUGGCCAGAGGAUGCCCACGUCACUCUCCAGCCUCCCUUCAGGACCAGCACCAGAAAACGCCUGGCCUUCUACCCCUGGCGCCAUGUCUGCUGAGCUUAAAAGAGUGAGCAGCCAUCUGGGAGUGGACACGUGUCUUCCAACCCUGUCUCAGCCACGUCCUUUGUCUGUUGUAUCUCCGUCCGCUGAGACCAUUGGGGAAUAAGACCUGCUCUGAAAGGCAGCCAGCUCAGUAAUCCCUGCCAAGUUCUCCAUUCUUCCCAGACUACAGGAAACAUUCCAGAAGGCAACCAAGGUGAGCCAGGGCUGGAGAACCUCAAAAACGUCUCCAUAGCAACAGCUUGUCCUGUCGGACACAAAGAAUCUUGGUUAAUUAUGCAGUCAAAGGUCAAAUUGUCAGGAUGAGACCUCCUUGCAUGUGCACCUCUCAGAAGAGGGCUGGCAUCCUCAUUUUCACUCCAUUUCUCGAACCUCAGGGUUAUAAGAGGCGAAGACAAUAACCGACAACUCCCUAGGAGGACAGCUUGUAGGAAUGGGAAAUUGGUCUGGCAAUGGUCUGCGUCAGGUAUUGCUUUGUUUUAUGCACCUUUUCAGGUCUCAAAUGUCUUGAUGUCAGAAACAUCUCUUCCUUCACAUUCUCUCCCUUCCCAGAUGAACCUCCCAGCCAGUGCCAUGGUUUCCGACUGCUUUAAUAACUUACUAUUUACAGCCACACAUGGUACACUCAUAACCCUGACUUCACAAAAUAGCAUCACAAAAGGAACAUGAAGAUAGAUUUUCCCAAUUGGAAAGAAAAGAAAAGGCAGAGAAACAGAAUGAUUGCCCCACUGCACCUCCCCAGCCAUGUCAAAAUGAGCCAGAAAGGCACUCCCUCUUUUUAAUAAUUUAAUAAAUGGUAUUCCUUUUCCCA